CAGUAGCGUAUAUUAAAGUUGUUGCGGUUAAAAAGCUCGUAGUUGGAUAUCUGCCUAGAAUCAUCAUGACAUUUAAUUGUCUAUGCUUGGCUCUUAGCAAAUUUCGUUGACUCAAAUGAACUUAAAUGUGAAUUAGAGAAUGCGAAGCAUCACCUUGAGGAAAUUAGAGUGCUUAAUGCAAGUAAUUCCGCUUUGAAUAUUUUAGCAUGGAAUAAUAACUUAGGACUUUGAAUGUUUCACCAAUUCUACAUUCAAAGUAAUGUAUAAUAGAGGUAGAUGGGGGCAUUCGUAUUUAACUGUCAGAGGUGAAAUUCUUGGAUUUGUUAAAGACGAACUAAUGCGAAAGCAUUUGCCAUGGAUACUCUCUUUG
rnacentral:rRNA from 1 species